rnacentral:tRNA from 1 species
GGGCGGCUAGCUCAGUUGGUUAGAGCACUAGCUCGACACGCUAGGGGUCACAGGUUCGAGUCCUGCGCCGCCCA